GAAGGGAUUUAUAAUCCUCAUUGAUUCUGUUCUUGGAGUUGCUAACCAAAUUCUGGAUGAACAAAAGUACUUGUUAACAUACAAAUGUUCUCAAGAUCACUUGGAGCUGUUCGUUAAUGCUGUACGCCGUACUGCAGGAUGGAAUAACAAUCCUACAGCUCAAGUGUUUACUGCAUCAUUUAGAAAGAUUAUUUCCCAUUGUAGAGCCCUAACAGUGUCUAAGCAUGGGAACUGUUCAGUUCUUGAAGAUACAAGACUGCUUAGAUGUGCUUUAGAUGGUUAUGUGCCACCUGUCACUGAACACAAUGAGGGCAAUGGUGAAUCAAGUCUAUCUGCGUUAGAUCUUACCUCUACUCGUUGCCGCUGGCAACCUUUGAUAAAACUGUCCUGUUUA